rnacentral:lncRNA from 10 species
CUCCUCCUCCCCUGCUCUCUUUCUCACAUACUCCUCUCUCUUUCCUUUUCUGUCCUAGAGUCCCUUUGAAUACUCUGGAACGAGGUGAAGGGGCCAUUUUUUCUCUGGGUCAGACAUCUCUCCACAGCAGGCGGACGCUCCUCCUUGGGGCCAGAGAGCAAGGCACCUGGAGGGAUGUCUCAGGAGAAGAAACAUUUUCUAAUCGCUCAGUAUCACACAGGUUUCUCUCCAGAGACCUCAGCACAUCACCUCUCCAAGGGGAGAGAGGAGAGGCAUCCUUCAGCUCAUUUAUGCCUGUAUCGAUCGCUGCUGCCUCACCCUCAAUGUCGGUGGUUGCCAUCCGGUACCUGUUCCAUCUGAUUCCCAUGCAACUACGUUCUGGAAUUCCCUGAGCACUACUCCACCUGAAGAACAGCCCGUCUCUCUCUGGACAGUAAUGAGGUUUCCUUUCCAGUCUCACACUGGCCUUCCAUCCUUCAUCCCGCCGAACAUCCCCUGGCUACAUUCAUUUCUCUGUAUGCCCGGGUUUAUUCAGCUGUGUUCUCCUCUGCUUUGUGGGUGAUCUGUCACAGGAGACUGUCACAGCCCAGUUGGAAUUCACUCUAUCUUUCCCUCUGCCCUAUUCGCUGAGCAAACAUGACAUGUGCAGUAGGCAUUUCAGCAGUGGAAAUUCUCUGACCCCCUUUGCUCUUGCCUAAAACAGAAACCUCAGUGGCUUUGCAGAAAAUAUUCCACAAUCUCCUGCAACCUAAAUUUGAUAGCUAUUUGUUGAAUACAUGUGAUAUACCUCUUGCUGUUGUGCCCUCAAGAAGCUUAUGAUGCUGUUGGUGAAAUAAAACAGACACAUGUAAAACAAUUUGAAAACAGCAAAGCACAGUAUACCAUCAGUGUUAUCAUUAGGUGCCAAAAUG